rnacentral:rRNA from 1 species
ACCCGCUGAACUUAAGCAUAUCAAUAAGCGGAGGAAAAGAAACCAACAGGGAUUGCCCUAGUAACGGCGAGUGAAGCGGCAACAGCUCAAAUUUGAAAUCUGGCUCUUUUAGAGUCCGAGUUGUAAUUUGCAGAGGGCGCUUUGGCUUUGGCAGCGGUCCAAGUUCCUUGGAACAGGACGUCACAGAGGGUGAGAAUCCCGUACGUGGUCGCUGGCUAUUGCCGUGUAAAGCCCCUUCGACGAGUCGAGUUGUUUGGGAAUGCAGCUCUAAAUGGGAGGUACAUUUCUUCUAAAGCUAAAUAUUGGCCAGAGACCGAUAGCGCACAAGUAGAGUGAUCGAAAGAUGAAAAGCACUUUGGAAAGAGAGUCAAACAGCACGUGAAAUUGUUGAAAGGGAAGCGCUUGCAGCCAGACUUGCUUACAGUUGCUCAUCCGGGCUUUUGCCCGGUGCACUCUUCUGUAGGCAGGCCAGCAUCAGUUUGGGCGGUAGGAUAAAGGUCUCUGUCACGUACCUCUCUUCGGGGAGGCCUUAUAGGGGAGACGACAUACUACCAGCCUGGGCUGAGGUCCGCGCAUCUGCUAGGAUGCUGGCGUAAUGGCUGU